rnacentral:rRNA from 1 species
CGUGUAGGCGGGACAUCAGGUGCUGUGUGAAAUCCCUGGGCUCAACCCAGGAAUGGCACGGCAAACCGGUGUUCUUGAGGCAGGUAGAGGUGACCGGACCGACUGGUGGAGCGGUGAAAUGCGUAGAUAUCAGUUGGAACGCCAGCGGCGAAAGCGGGUCACUGGGCCUGUCCUGACGCUGAGACGCGAAAGCGUGGGUAGCGAACAGGAUUAGAUACCCUGGUAGUCC